rnacentral:rRNA from 1 species
GUGCCAGCCGCCGCGGUAAUACGGGGGGGGCAAGCGUUGUUCGGAAUUACUGGGCGUAAAGGGCGCGUAGGCGGUUGGAUAAGUCAGCUGUGAAAACCACGAGCUCAACUUGUGGCCUGCAGUUGAAACUGUCUGGCUAGAGUGUGGGAGAGGGAAGUGGAAUUCCUGGUGUAGCGGUGAAAUGCGUAGAUAUCAGGAGGAACACCGGUGGCGAAGGCGGCUUCCUGGACCACAACUGACGCUGAGGCGCGAAAGCUAGGGGAGCAAACAGGAUUAGAUACCCCCGUAGUCC